GCCUACCAUGCAAGNUCGAACGGUAGCACAGAGAGCUUGCUCUCGGGUGACGAGUGGCGGACGGGUUGAGUAAUGUCUGGGAAACUGCCUGAUGGAGGGGGAUAACUACUGGAAACGGUAGCUAAUACCGCAUAACGUCGCAAGACCAAAGAGGGGGACCUUCGGGCCUCUUGCCAUCAGAUGUGCCCAGAUGGGAUUAGCUAGUAGGUGGGGUAANGGCUCACCUAGGCGACGAUCCCUAGCUGGUCUGAGAGGAUGACCAGCCACACUGGAACUGAGACACGGUCCAGACUCCUACGGGAGGCAGCAGUGGGGAAUAUUGCACAAUGGGCGCAAGCCUGAUGCAGCCAUGCCGCGUGUAUGAAGAAGGCCUUCGGGUUGUAAAGUACUUUCAGCGGGGAGGAAGGUGUUGUGGUUAAUAACCNCAGCAAUUGACGUUACCCGCAGAAGAAGCACCGGCUAACUCCGUGCCAGCAGCCGCGGUAAUACGGAGGGUGCAAACGUUAAUCGGAAUUACUGGGCGUAAAGCGCACGCAGGCGGUCUGUCAAGUCGGAUGUGAAAUCCCCGGGCUCAACCUGGGAACUGCAUUCGAAACUGGCAGGCUAGAGUCUUGUAGAGGGGGGUAGAAUUCCAGGUGUAGCGGUGAAAUGCGUAGAGAUCUGGAGGAAUACCGGUGGCGAAGGCGGCCCCCUGGACAAAGACUGACGCUCAGGUGCGAAAGCGUGGGGAGCAAACAGGAUUAGAUACCCUGGUAGUCCACGCCGUAAACGAUGUCGACUUGGAGGUUGUGCCCUUGAGGCGUGGCUUCCGAAGCUAACGCGUUAAGUCGACCGCCUGGGGAGUACGGCCGCAAGGUUAAAACUCAAAUGAAUUGACGGGGGCCCGCACAAGCGGUGGAGCAUGUGGUUUAAUUCGAUGCAACGCGAAGAACCUUACCUACUCUUGACAUCCAGAGAACUUNCCAGAGAUGCUUUGGUGCCUUCGGGAACUCUGAGACAGGUGCUGCAUGGCUGUCGUCAGCUCGUGUUGUGAAAUGUUGGGUUAAGUCCCGCAACGAGCGCAACCCUUAUCCUUUGUUGCCAGCGGUCCGGCCGGGAACUCAAAGGAGACUGCCAGUGAUAAACUGGAGGAAGGUGGGGAUGACGUCAAGCUCAUCAUGGCCCUUACGAGUAGGGCUACACACGUGCUACAAUGGCGCAUACAAAGAGAAGCGAACUCGCGAGAGCAAGCGGACCUCAUAAAGUGCGUCGUAGUCCGGAUUGGAGUCUGCAACUCGACUCCAUGAAGUCGGAAUCGCUAGUAAUCGUAGAUCAGAAUGCUACGGUGAAUACGUUCCCGGGCCUUGUACACACCGCCCGUCACACCAUGGGAGUGGGUUGCAAAAGAAGUAGGUAGCUUAACCUUCGGGAGGGCGCUUACCACUUUGUGAUUCAUGACUGGGGUGAAGUCGUAACAAAGGUAACCAA
rnacentral:rRNA from 1 species